rnacentral:rRNA from 1 species
CCUACGGGUGGCAGCAGUGAGGAAUAUUGGUCAAUGGGCGCGAGCCUGAACCAGCCAAGUAGCGUGAAGGAUGACUGCCCUACGGGUUGUAAACUUCUUUUAUAAAGGAAUAAAGUUAGGCACGUGUACCUUUUUGUAUGUACUUUAUGAAUAAGGAUCGGCUAACUCCGUGCCAGCAGCCGCGGUAAUACGGAGGAUUCGAGCGUUAUCCGGAUUUAUUGGGUUUAAAGGGAGCGUAGAUGGGUUGUUAAGUCAGUUGUUAAAGUUUGCGGCUCAACCGUAAAAUUGCAAUUGAUACUGGCAGGCUAGAGUACAGUUGAGGUAGGCGGAAUUCGUGGUGUAGCGGUGAAAUGCUUAGAUAUAACGAAGAACUCCGAUUGCGAAGGCAGCUUACCAAACUGAGACUGACAUUGAUGCUCGAGAGUGUGGGUAUCAAACAGGAUUAGAUACCCGGGUAGUC